rnacentral:rRNA from 1 species
AGAGUUUGAUCCUGGCUCAGGAUGAACGCUAGCGGCAGGCUUAAUACAUGCAAGUCGUGGGGCAGCGCAGUCCCGCAGCAAUGCGGGAUGGGCGGCGACCGGCAAACGGGUGCGGAACACGUACGCAACCUUCCUUCAAAUGGGGAAUAGCCCAGGGAAACUUGGAUUAAUACCCCGUAACAUUACGAGAUGGCAUCAUUUUGUAAUUAUAGCUACGGCGUUUGAAGAUGGGCGUGCGCCUGAUUAGGUAGUUGGCGGGGUAACGGCCCACCAAGCCUGCGAUCAGUAACUGGUGUGAGAGCACGACCAGUCACACGGGCACUGAGACACGGGCCCGACUCCUACGGGAGGCAGCAGUAAGGAAUAUUGGUCAAUGGACGCAAGUCUGAACCAGCCAUGCCGCGUGGAGGAUGAAGGUCCUCUGGAUUGUAAACUUCUUUUAUUUGGGAAGAAACCCACGGUUUCUACUGUGGUUGACGGUACCAGAUGAAUAAGCACCGGCUAACUCCGUGCCAGCAGCCGCGGUAAUACGGAGGGUGCAAGCGUUAUCCGGAUUCACUGGGUUUAAAGGGUGCGUAGGCGGGCAGGUAAGUCAGUGGUGAAAUCCCCGAGCUUAACUUGGGAACUGCCGUUGAUACUAUCUGUCUUGAAUACUAUGGAGGUAAGCGGAAUAUGUCAUGUAGCGGUGAAAUGCUUAGAUAUGACAUAGAACACCAAUUGCGAAGGCAGCUUGCUACACAGUUAUUGACGCUGAGGCACGAAAGCGUGGGGAUCAAACAGGAUUAGAUACCCUGGUAGUCCACGCCCUAAACGAUGGAUACUCGACAUCAGCGAUACACUGUUGGUGUCUGAGCGAAAGCAUUAAGUAUCCCACCUGGGAAGUACGACCGCAAGGUUGAAACUCAAAGGAAUUGGCGGGGGUCCGCACAAGCGGUGGAGCAUGUGGUUUAAUUCGACGAUGCGCGAGGUACCUUACCUGGGCUAGAAUGCAUUUUGACCGUGGGUGAAAGCUCACUUUGUAGCAAUACACAAUUUGUAAGGUGCUGCAUGGCUGUCGUCAGCUCGUGCCAUGAGGUGUUGGGUUAAGUCCCGCAACGAGCGCAACCCCCAUCAUUAGUUGCCAUCAGGUAAAGCUGGGAACUCUAAUGAAACUGCCGUCGUAAGACGCGAGGAAGGAGGGGAUGAUGUCAAGUCAUCAUGGCCUUUAUGCCC